UGGGGAAUAUUGGACAAUGGGGGCAACCCUGAUCCAGCCAUGCCGCGUGCGUGAAGAAGGCCUUAGGGUUGUAAAGCGCUUUCGCCCGCGACGAUGAUGACGGUAGCGGGAGAAGAAGCCCCGGCUAACUCCGUGCCAGCAGCCGCGGUAAUACGGAGGGGGCGAGCGUUGUUCGGAAUUACUGGGCGUAAAGGGCGCGUAGGCGGCGAGAUCAGUCAGGCGUGAAAGCCCCGGGCUCAACCUGGGAUGUGCGUUUGAUACUAUCUUGCUCGAGACCGGAAGAGGAUGGCGGAAUACCCAGUGUAGAGGUGAAAUUCGUAGAUAUUGGGUGGAACACCAGUGGCGAAGGCGGCCAUCUGGUCCGGAUCUGACGCUGAGGCGCGAAAGCGUGGGGAGCAAACAGGAUUAGAUACCCCCGUAGUCC
rnacentral:rRNA from 1 species